rnacentral:rRNA from 1 species
AUUGAACGCUGGCGGAAUGCUUUACACAUGCAAGUCGAACGGCAGCACGGGUGCUUGCACCUGGUGGCGAGUGGCGAACGGGUGAGUAAUAUAUCGGAACGUAUCCAAUAAUGGGGGAUAACUAAUCGAAAGGUUGGGCAAUACCGCAUACGCCCUACGGGGGAAAGCUAGGGACCUUCGGGCCUGGCGUUAAUGGAGCGGCCGAUAUCUGAUUAGCUAGUUGGUGGGGUAAUGGCCUACCAAGGCUACGAUCAGUAGCUGGUCUGAGAGGACGACCAGCCACACUGGAACUGAGACACGGUCCAGACUCCUACGGGAGGCAGCAGUGGGGAAUUUUGGACAAUGGGCGCAAGCCUGAUCCAGCCAUUCCGCGUGAGUGAAGAAGGCCUUCGGGUUGUAAAGCUCUUUCGCAAGGGAAGAAAACUUAUCCUCUAACAUAGGAUGAGGUUGACGGUACCUUGAUAAGAAGCACCGGCUAACUACGUGCCAGCAGCCGCCGUAAGAC